rnacentral:lncRNA from 1 species
CAGAGAAAUGCGCUGGAGUUGUCUUUUCUGUCAUCUGGACACCAACAUCGUAGAGACUGGGUCCAAAUCUGUUACUUGCUUACCGAUGGCCAUGAAGGCACGAACACGAGCCCAGCCACGAGGACCUCCCGGACUUCUCCGUGUGCAGAGGGGGGGCCCCUGUGCGCAGUCCACAGCCCGGGAACUCUCUGGUCUCUGGGACUCCCGCCAGAGAAGCAUCUUCUCAGGUGGUAACAAAUCAGGCUGGCCGUGCUGCUUCCUUUGGGUGAGAGAGGCGGAUGUCGGAAUGCAGACAUGUCCUCCAGGUGUCCUCUCCCGGAACCAACUUUCUUCGACUUUGGUUUUGAACUUCAAGAAAAGGACAGCCCAGGAUAGAUACGGACGUAGAUGCAGGGGAGUCCCCAGGGGGGACCCUGUUUCAUCCGUGGAAAAUGCAAGUGGGGCCGCUACAAGUCCCCGGCGACUGAACGCCCACACCAGCUGCAGAAUCGACGAGGCCGUCCCUUCCUGGAGAUGCAGAUCACGGAGGUGGCUCCCCUCCCAUCCUGUCAGCUCCUGA